UCANGACGAACGCUGGCGGCGUGCUUAACACAUGCAAGUCAAGGAGAACAUUUUCUUCGGAAAAUUAUUAAACUGGCGAACGGGUGAGUAACACGUAGGUAACCUGCCUUGAAGAUUGGGAUAACUCCGGGAAACCGGAGCUAAUACCGAAUAAUGCAGCGAAUCCAUAGGGAUAUGUUGUUAAAGCGGGCUUCGGCUCGCACUUCGAGAUGGGCCUGCGGCCGAUUAGCUUGUUGGUGAGGUAAUGGCUCACCAAGGCGAUGAUCGGUAGCUGGUCUGAGAGGAUGAUCAGCCACACUGGGAUUGAGAUACGGCCCAGACUCCUACGGGAGGCAGCAGUGGGGAAUUUUGCGCAAUGGACGAAAGUCUGACGCAGCAACGCCGCGUGAUUGAUGAAGCUUUUAGGAGUGUAAAGAUCUGUCGUGAGGGAAGAAAAACCUGGAUGUAAAUAAUGUUCAGGCGUGACGGUACCUCACAAGAAAGCACCGGCUAACUUCGUGCCAGCAGCCGCGGUAAUACGAGGGGUGCUAGCGUUGUCCGGAAUUACUGGGCGUAAAGGGUCCGUAGGCGUCUUGACAAGUUGAUCGUUAAAUCCACCGGCUUAACCGGUGAUCUGCGGUCAAAACUUGCAGGAUAGAAUAUGUGAGAGGAAAGUAGAAUUCCUGGUGUAGCGGUGACAUGCGUAGAUAUCAGGAGGAACACCAAUGGCGAAGGCAGCUUUCUGGCACAAUAUUGACGCUGAGGGACGAAAGCGUGGGGAGCGAACAGGAUUAGAUACCCUGGUAGUCCACGCCGUAAACGAUGAGUACUUGGUGGUGGGAGAUUCGACCCUCUCACUAUCGGAGCUAACGCGUUAAGUACUCCGCCUGGGGACUACGGCCGCAAGGCUGAAACU
rnacentral:rRNA from 1 species